rnacentral:rRNA from 1 species
AUUGAACGCUGGCGGCAUGCUUUACACAUGCAAGUCGAACGGUAACAGGCCUUCGGGUGCUGACGAGUGGCGCACGGGUGCGUAAUGCAUCGGAACGUACCCAGAGGUGGGGGAUAACGCAGCGAAAGCUGUGCUAAUACCGCAUGUGAUCUGAGGAUGAAAGCGGGGGACCGAGCAGCAAUGUUUGGCCUCGCGCCUUUGGAGCGGCCGAUGUCGGAUUAGCUAGUUGGUGGGGUAAAGGCCUACCAAGGCGACGAUCCGUAGCUGGUCUGAGAGGACGACCAGACACACUGGGACUGAGACACGGCCCAGACUCCUACGGGAGGCAGCAGUGGGGAAUUUUGGACAAUGGGCGCAAGCCUGAUCCAGCAAUGCCGCGUGCGGGAAGAAGGCCUUCGGGUUGUAAACCGCUUUUGGCAGGAACGAAACGGUGUCCGCUAAUACCGGGCGCUAAUGACGGUACCUGCAGAAUAAGCACCGGCUAACUACGUG